CCAACGGCUCUUUUCAGAGCCACCCACUUUCUCACCAAAGAGCUG
rfam:Mesitornis unicolor contig80276, whole genome shotgun sequence.